UUAAGUUAUUAAGGGCGCACGGUGGAUGCCUUGGCACUAGAAGCCGAUGAAGGACGUUACUAACGACGAUAUGCUUUGGGGAGCUGUAAGUAAGCUUUGAUCCAGAGAUUUCCGAAUGGGGAAACCCAGCAUGAGUUAUGUCAUGUUAUCGAUAUGUGAAUACAUAGCAUAUCAGAAGGCACACCCGGAGAACUGAAACAUCUUAGUACCCGGAGGAAGAGAAAGAAAAUUCGAUUCCCUUAGUAGCGGCGAGCGAAACGGGAAGAGCCCAAACCAACAAGCUUGCUUGUUGGGGUUGUAGGACACUCUAUACGGAGUUACAAAGGACGACAUUAGACGAAUCAUCUGGAAAGAUGAAUCAAAGAAGGUAAUAAUCCUGUAGUCGAAAAUGUUGUCUCUCUUGAGUGGAUCCUGAGUACGACGGAGCACGUGAAAUUCCGUCGGAAUCUGGGAGGACCAUCUCCUAAGGCUAAAUACUCUCUAGUGACCGAUAGUGAACCAGUACCGUGAGGGAAAGGUGAAAAGCACCCCGGAAGGGGAGUGAAAUAGAACCUGAAACCGUGUGCUUACAAGUAGUCAGAGCCCGUUAAUGGGUGAUGGCGUGCCUUUUGUAGAAUGAACCGGCGAGUUACGAUUUGAUGCAAGGUUAAGCAGUAAAUGUGGAGCCGUAGCGAAAGCGAGUCUGAAUAGGGCGUUUAGUAUUUGGUCGUAGACCCGAAACCAGGUGAUCUACCCUUGGUCAGGUUGAAGUUCAGGUAACACUGAAUGGAGGACCGAACCGACUUACGUUGAAAAGUGAGCGGAUGAACUGAGGGUAGCGGAGAAAUUCCAAUCGAACCUGGAGAUAGCUGGUUCUCUCCGAAAUAGCUUUAGGGCUAGCCUCAAGUGAUGAUUAUUGGAGGUAGAGCACUGUUUGGACGAGGGGCCCCUCUCGGGUUACCGAAUUCAGACAAACUCCGAAUGCCAAUUAAUUUAACUUGGGAGUCAGAACAUGGGUGAUAAGGUCCGUGUUCGAAAGGGAAACAGCCCAGACCACCAGCUAAGGUCCCAAAAUAUAUGUUAAGUGGAAAAGGAUGUGGCGUUGCCCAGACAACUAGGAUGUUGGCUUAGAAGCAGCCAUCAUUUAAAGAGUGCGUAAUAGCUCACUAGUCGAGUGACACUGCGCCGAAAAUGUACCGGGGCUAAACAUAUUACCGAAGCUGUGGAUUGUCCUUUGGACAAUGGUAGGAGAGCGUUCUAAGGGCGUUGAAGCAUGAUCGUAAGGACAUGUGGAGCGCUUAGAAGUGAGAAUGCCGGUGUGAGUAGCGAAAGACGGGUGAGAAUCCCGUCCACCGAUUGACUAAGGUUUCCAGAGGAAGGCUCGUCCGCUCUGGGUUAGUCGGGUCCUAAGCUGAGGCCGACAGGCGUAGGCGAUGGAUAACAGGUUGAUAUUCCUGUACCACCUAUAAUCGUUUUAAUCGAUGGGGGGACGCAGUAGGAUAGGCGAAGCGUGCGAUUGGAUUGCACGUCUAAGCAGUAAGGCUGAGUAUUAGGCAAAUCCGGUACUCGUUAAGGCUGAGCUGUGAUGGGGAGAAGACAUUGUGUCUUCGAGUCGUUGAUUUCACACUGCCGAGAAAAGCCUCUAGAUAGAAAAUAGGUGCCCGUACCGCAAACCGACACAGGUAGUCAAGAUGAGAAUUCUAAGGUGAGCGAGCGAACUCUCGUUAAGGAACUCGGCAAAAUGACCCCGUAACUUCGGGAGAAGGGGUGCUCUUUAGGGUUAACGCCCAGAAGAGCCGCAGUGAAUAGGCCCAAGCGACUGUUUAUCAAAAACACAGGUCUCUGCUAAACCGUAAGGUGAUGUAUAGGGGCUGACGCCUGCCCGGUGCUGGAAGGUUAAGAGGAGUGGUUAGCUUCUGCGAAGCUACGAAUCGAAGCCCCAGUAAACGGCGGCCGUAACUAUAACGGUCCUAAGGUAGCGAAAUUCCUUGUCGGGUAAGUUCCGACCCGCACGAAAGGCGUAACGAUUUGGGCACUGUCUCAACGAGAGACUCGGUGAAAUCAUAGUACCUGUGAAGAUGCAGGUUACCCGCGACAGGACGGAAAGACCCCGUGGAGCUUUACUGUAGCCUGAUAUUGAAAUUCGGCACAGCUUGUACAGGAUAGGUAGGAGCCUUUGAAACGUGAGCGCUAGCUUACGUGGAGGCGCUGGUGGGAUACUACCCUAGCUGUGUUGGCUUUCUAACCCGCACCACUUAUCGUGGUGGGAGACAGUGUCAGGCGGGCAGUUUGACUGGGGCGGUCGCCUCCUAAAAGGUAACGGAGGCGCUCAAAGGUUCCCUCAGAAUGGUUGGAAAUCAUUCAUAGAGUGUAAAGGCAUAAGGGAGCUUGACUGCGAGACCUACAAGUCGAGCAGGGUCGAAAGACGGACUUAGUGAUCCGGUGGUUCCGCAUGGAAGGGCCAUCGCUCAACGGAUAAAAGCUACCCCGGGGAUAACAGGCUUAUCUCCCCCAAGAGUUCACAUCGACGGGGAGGUUUGGCACCUCGAUGUCGGCUCAUCGCAUCCUGGGGCUGUAGUCGGUCCCAAGGGUUGGGCUGUUCGCCCAUUAAAGCGGUACGCGAGCUGGGUUCAGAACGUCGUGAGACAGUUCGGUCCCUAUCCGUCGUGGGCGUAGGAAAUUUGAGAGGAGCUGUCCUUAGUACGAGAGGACCGGGAUGGACAUACCUCUGGUGUACCAGUUGUCGUGCCAACGGCAUAGCUGGGUAGCUAUGUGUGGACGGGAUAAGUGCUGAAAGCAUCUAAGCAUGAAGCCCCCCUCAAGAUGAGAUUUCCCAACUUCGGUUAUAAGAUCCCUCAAAGAUGAUGAGGUUAAUAGGUUCGAGGUGGAAGCAUGGUGACAUGUGGAGCUGACGAAUACUAAUCGAUCGAAGA
rnacentral:rRNA from 1 species